UUGCAAAAUAUAAAAGCACAUACUUAUAUUUGUGACUGCUGAAAAUGCUGCAAAUCAAAGUUCAAUAGUCAAGAUAGUCGAAAAAUCAAUCAGAAAAAAAAGGUUGGCAAAAAAUUAUGCAUCUAGCAAAGCAGCCAACAAUGUUCAGAACGGAAAACCUCUACGCAAACUUUUCUUUGAGGUCUCAGCCAAUCGCUUUAAACCCUUUGCCUCUACAUAGAACUCCAUCAGGUCUUCAGCAACUUCCUUUGGAUGACACCAAACAAAAGCCUUCAAGAAUCGGUUUUCUUUCAUCCUCAGUGCUCUAAACAUCAGAGGUCCUUUAAUUUGUAUGGAGAGACCCAUGUCCCUUAUUUUACCUGCAAGCAGCACCCGAGGCUUCAAUACAGCCUCCAGAUUAUUUAAAAGCAAAUAUGGGUACUGAAGCACCACAUUUGCUGGGAGCUUCAUCGUGCCCACAAUGAAAGUCAUAUUCCUUUGAACCUUAUCAACUGACAUUGUCAACAAAAGGGGGGAACGCCCAAUAAGACUCCAAACCUCUUCGUCUGUAAACCCAAACUUCUCAAAGUUUGUCACCUUUUCGCGGAUGGUGUCAAUCCUUGAGAUACCCAGCAGAGUAACUACAUAUUUAUACAUCUUGGAAUUCUUGGAAAUCCCAGUUUUGCGUAUGUACUCCAUCUUCUCAUCAUCAAAUGAAGUACGAGGAAUCAAAGUUGGCCGUGACAAGAGCAUAGGAAUCAAAUCCUUUUUACUAACACCCAUACUUUCAUAUAGUGCAAUGGCAGGUUUAAUACUAUUGUGGAAGUCAUAUGUCAGUAGCGAAGGGUUCCUGAUAAUGGCCUUAAGUAGAAUUUCCCUUGAUCCAAACAAUGCCAUAAAAUACUCCAGUCGUUCAUCAAAGCAACGAUUGAUGCGACUACUAAGGAAUCGAGGGCGACAAUUGAUGACCUUAACAAGGUCAGUUGAAGUGAUACCUAAGCCCUGAAGUAAACAUAGUUUGGACUGAAGGUUGUUAAGAUCAGCAUUGCGUAGAGAAGGGCGGCGUGACAAAAUUUUUAAUAUGUCAUUGUCACUACAACCCCAUCUCCUAAGAACCUCUACAGAGUCCUUUGGCUGCUCUACACCUUCGUCCAAAACAUUUUCAACUUGGGUUUGGCUUAUUGUCGAAUAUGUGGAGAUCAUGGUGGAAAUAAAGAAUACUGGAAAUUUAUUAAUAGGGUUUCUGUGCCAAAAAAUAAAUUUUUGAGAGGUAAUGAAUAAGGAACAGAACUUGAACUUGACUAAGGAGUUGGGUUUAGUUUCCAUGUCAAUCUUCCAGUUGUGAGCUAAAGGAAUUAUGGCUCCAAAGGAUUAUGACAAUGCUCUAAAGAAUCCAAAGCAAUAUGAAAUUUAUUUCUAGAGAAUUGGACCCUAAUUAGAUUGUAACUAAGAGAAAAUUAAUCAACAACGCUACCAGAUGAGAUGAAAGAAAUCUUAAUAGAAUGCUUCUGAGCUCAAUCUUCAAUGUGCAAUUUCAAACCCAAAAGAACAAACAAAAGAAUCAUUAACAGAGAUAACAACACUUGAAAGGAGAUACAUAUCAUAGAUAACUGAGAAGCAGUUUGAUCAUCUUGUGCAAGAGAAGAGGAAGAGAAGGACCUGGAAAGGAAGGGAGUCCAUAAACGAUAUGCGUUGAGGUGGUAGAUGCUGAACUAAUACAAAGCAGUGAAGAUGGCGAAAAGGUUUCCUGAAAUUACGCUCUCU
rnacentral:misc_RNA from 1 species